UAAAGACUCUCGGCAACGGAUAUCUCGGCUCUUGCAUCGAUGAAGAACGUAGCGAAAUGCGAUACUUGGUGUGAAUUGCAGAAUCCCGUGAACCAUCGAGUCUUUGAACGCAAGUUGCGCCCGAAGCCAUUAGGCUGAGGGCACGCCUGCCUGGGUGUUGCAC
rnacentral:rRNA from 20 species